rnacentral:tRNA from 1 species
GGGCAAGUGGCGGAACUGGUAGACGCGCAGGUCUCAAAAACCUGUGAUCUCACGGUCGUGAGGGUUCGAUUCCCUCCUUGCCCACCA